AAGGACAUGCCGCGAACGAGACAUACAAGGCGGUGAGGCUACCGCGGAUCGACCGCUGUUUGCUAACGCAGAGGUCAAUCGUGGAUGAGGAAAAGCGAAGGCAGGGCGUGAGGUGAACUGAAUUUCAGGGACUGGGACUUCCUGGAAUCACUAAGAGGAGGGACGUAUCACAGAGAAGGUGCCUGGCUUUCUACGGGUUUUAAACCAAACUGAAAACCCCUCCGUCUCUAGCUUCAUGUCUGCCAGUUAAAAGAAGAAAUAACAACAGGAGAAGAUGAUCUGCAGGAUCCUGCUGCUCAUCAUCCUCCCCUCAUGUGUCUGUGGAUCAUUUGUAGUCAAUGUGACACAGACCUCCUAUCAGGCAGAGGAGAACCACAACAUCACACUGGAGUGGACGUUCACCACCAAACCUGACAGAUCCAACAAAACCCUCAACAUCUUUUGUGAAGUCUUCAUCAGUGAUAACGUCUCAGUCCUGUAUCAUGUUCAUGAAGGUGUUGAGGUGUCAGAGUCUCAGGAUGCAAAGUUUUCAGGACGAGUCCAGAGUGACAAAGACGCCCUCAGAGAAGGACGAAUCAGACUUCAACUGUCCAGACUCAGGACUGAUGACUCGGGUCUGUACCUGUGUGAGGUCAACACUGAUUAUGGCUUCAGUGUUGGAAGAUGUCGACUCAACGUCACUGGAGCCAAAAAUUCAAAGGAGAAGUACUGGGAGAAAGUUAAAAAUGCUUUAGCAGGUGGACAGAUUGCAGUUAUAAUACUUGCUGGAUUGAUGGUCCUAUUAGGUGAAAUAGUUGACCCUAAAUUCCUCAUUAACAAAGGAGUAAGAGAAGAGGCCGCAUCAGAUGCAGAUGAAACAACAGUUCCUCUUCAAUUAUUGAUCUAGAGGAGAGCUGCUGAAACAGGUGUGGCUGGUAAGAUAAGUUCUGUGAGGCUACUCAGGUGUUUAUAAUGAAAAGACCGACAGAUUCUGGGAAAUACUUCAAAUGACCAGCAGACGAUGGCUCAGAGGGCUGUGAAGUCACACAUCUAGAAGCAUAAGGCCUGCUGGUGAAGCCUAGAUGUUCUGCAACAAGAGUGUUUGUGUGUGAGAGAAAGCCAUGGAGGAGAAUCUGGAUUUACUAAUGGAUCGACUUCCCUGAAGGCUCUUUGUAAAUAGAGGCAGUGAAUUAUCCCCUACUUGUAAAGUCUGUAAAUACUUUAUAUCUGUGUGCACUGUAAAUAAACUCUCUAAACCUGCUUUACUGAGUCCAGCCUGCCUUUUGACCAU